UGGCGCCAAAACAGGACCUAAACCUAAAUUUCAAGAAGGUGAAAGAGUUCUGUGUUUUCAUGGGCCAUUGCUUUACGAAGCAAAGGCAGUGAAAACCAAUAUCACGGAGAAGCAAAUUAAGUACUUCAUUCAUUACAGUGGAUGGAACAAAAAGUGAGUCAUUUUUGCCAUUGUUG